AGGGCAAAGAAUCUUUUGUCACCUGAAAAACCAACGCAUUUGUUGUAGGGUGGUGGGCUUUUGCUCAGACUACACAAAACUACUGGGAAAUCUGUGACUGAUCAGAUGGAGGUUUUGUUUAUUGUGGUGGAAAUAGCGGGGCAAGAUUGUGGUUGAGCAAUGCUGGAAGAUGGGGGUGGUUAGUUAGCCGUUUCCCUACAGGCUGGUUGUGCAAUUAAAAAAAUCCCCCCCAGCUGUUUCCCCAUCUCAUGGUUCUUUUGUGGGUGCCUGUGAGGAAGCUGCUGGAAGGGCGAUUUUUAUUGCAAAAGCAGUCUGUGGGGACGAGGAUUAAUCACUGCCAUCUCCACCCCAGCACUCCUGCUGCAAACAGUUUUGCAGUCCCCACAAACCUUCACUUCCCUUUUAAAAAUUAAAAAUAAAACCGUCAGGAUAUUGAUUAAGAAUAUCCUGAUGUUGUGUGGUCUAGAUCUGAUUAUGGUAUACUAAAUGGUGCUAAGUUCAUAACACUGCAGAGUUAUUGCUUCAGACCCUCCUCCCUCGUGAUAAAGAGAAUUUAUUUGCAGCUCUUGCGCCAAGACGCUCUCAGAGCAGCUUACAUUAUCAGUCUAAAAUAUAAAAUGCAAUAUAAGAAGACAGCAAAAACACAAUUUCAGAGAGCAGGUGCUGUGCAGCCAAGCUCCUCCUCCCAUUGUAGAGUUCAUGGUUGACAAGUUUGAGCCUGCAGAUGGCCACCUGUUCGUGGGCUUGUCUGUAAGAAAAGAAGGGUGCAACCUGAUUUCAGCCAUACCUACAACAACCCUGCAAAAGAGGUCCGUAUGGUGCCUUUGCGGAAGGGAGGGGCUGGGGCCAAGACCCCAAGAAGAAGUGACUGGCCCAAGGCCUCCUGCUAAACCCAUCGCAUAGGUCACUUGGAAGGAGACACAGUCUGAUGAGCCACCCACCUGUAUGCUAGGCAGCUCUGAAUCCUGUAACAUUUUUCAGGUGAGGAAUCCCAACAACCCUCAGGCUGAGAAGCAGCAGCCCUCAUCCUGCCCUCAGUCCUGGAGCCUUACACAGCUGCUCCUGCAUCUCAAAAAAUAUUAGCUGGAGUUGAACUUGGAGGUCUUCAGUAAAAGCAGGAAGCUGAUGCUGCAGUGUCCCUGGUCCAGAAGGACUUCCUGUGAUUAUCUUCUUCCGUAGAGCCCAGUUGCUAAAUGUCUCUUGAUCCUAUCCCCUGAGAAUUGCUUUCUCAUUCUGUUUUGCCUCCUAUCCCACUAAAAGGAGAAUAGACCCAUGUAGUGAUAGUAAAGACUUCAGGGGAGGACUAGGCCUCACUAAGAGCAACUGCUGGGAGGGUAGUCCUUUCCUACUAAGGGGGAAAGCCCAGGAAAUUCAAAACAGAAGGACCAGUCCAGAGGACUGGGUGGGACCCCCCCCACACACACACACAGAGAGAACAACCUAAUGAAGAAAAGAGACCUGUUGGGGAAAUGUGAAGGAAGGGAAGUUAUUUUUCUUUACUAUAUUGCUUGAAAUCUGAGUUGCCUGGUUUAAUGGAAACUCUCUUAUAAUCUGUUUUAUGAGACAAUUAUUGUUAUUGCAUGUUGUUGUUUUUCUUUUAAUCUAAUAAUAAAUCCUUGUUGGUGAA